rnacentral:rRNA from 1 species
AGCAGCCGCGGUAAUUCCAGCUCCAAUAGCGUAUAUUAAAGUUGUUGCAGUUAAAAAGCUCGUAGUUGAAUUUCGGGAUCAAUAUGCCGGUCAUGCUUUGGUAUGCACUGGUAUCUUUGAUUUCUCCCUUCUGACGAACUUUGAUGUCAUUAAUUUGGUGUCAUAGGGAAUCAGGACUGUUACUUUGAAAAAAUUAGAGUGUUUAAAGCAAGCUCACGCUUGAAUACAUUAGCAUGGAAUAAUGAAAUAGGACGUUUGAUUCUAUUUUGUUGGUUUCUAGGAUCGACGUAAUGAUUAAUAGGGAUAGUUGGGGGCAUUAGUAUUCAAUUGUCAGAGGUGAAAUUCUUGGAUUUAUUGAAGACUAACUACUGCGAAAGCAUUUGCCAAGGAUGUUUUCAUUAAUCAAGAACGAAAGUUAGGGGAUCGAAGACGAUCAGAUACCGUCGUAGUCUUAACCAUAAAUUAUGCCGACUAGGGAUCGGAUGAUGUUAAUUUAAUGACUCA